ensembl:snRNA U6 U6 spliceosomal RNA
GUACACAUUUCAAUAGGACAUAAACCCAAUUUGGAAUGCUAUCAGAGAUCAGCAUGGUCUCUGAGCAAGAAUGACAAACAAGUUUGGGACAUAUUCUAUAUAUAA